AUGCCAACAACGCCGGAUCGACGAAAGCUACGGCACACCGCGAUCGUUGCGCCCACCGAAGAUAACCACCACGCUCCAAAGCCACCGAGUUGCCGUGUACCAAGCACCACCUUCAAGAAGGAAUGCGACGAUGACGACGCUGCUGCCCGGACGAGUCCUAGGAUUUCUCCCGGUACACGGAGGGUAGAGGGGGGAGAGGGUCACCCGACGCCCUUCAAGAAGGAUGGUGGCGCCCGCAGGCGUCACCGCGUUGGUGCCGGCAAGACCCGACAUGGAUUUCUCCCGACCUCUCGCGCCCACCACCCAGGACCAACCUUCGGCUCCACCACACCCGCCGCCCACCAACAUGCGCCAACAGUCAUGAGGACACCGCCGUCGUCUCACCACGGCCAACGAAGCGAGGCCGGCCGGAUCCAAAUGAGACACCCGAAGACAAGGACCGGCAGCACCGCAGCCACGAGGGAGGGAACAACCUCCACCGGCUUAGGCGGUAGCAGACCGGGCAUAGCAGCAGAGGCACACCAGACCCCCUGUCCGGCCAGGCCCUGCGUGGGCCCGUGA
rnacentral:rRNA from 1 species